rnacentral:rRNA from 1 species
AUACGGAGGGUGCAAGCGUUGUCGGGAUUUAUUGGGUUUAAAGGGUGCGCAGGCGGUGCGUUAAGUCAGUGGUGAAAUCUUCCGGCUCAACCGGGAAACUGCCAUUGAUACUGGCGCACUUGAGUACGGACGAGGUAGGCGGAAUUUAUGGUGUAGCGGUGAAAUGCAUAGAUACCAUAAAGAACACCGAUAGCGAAGGCAGCUUACCAGACCGUAACUGACGCUCAGGCACGAAAGCGUGGGGAGCAAACAGGAUUAGAAACCCUAGUAGUCC